rnacentral:snoRNA from 1 species
ACGACCUUACUUGAACAGGAUCUGUUCUAUAGGCUCGUACCUCUGUAUCCUUGAGUUCUAAGGAGACGGGAAACAAAGUUUGUGGAUGAAUUCGGACCGUGCGAUCAGAGCGUGAUUAAUUGCCUUGGGAGCUCAAUAUUUGAAAUUCUACGGGCCGUAGAGGAUCGUUCUCAAAUGGCUGAGAUGGUCGCAUGGUUAGAAAAAAU